rnacentral:rRNA from 1 species
GAUGAACGCUAGCGGGAGGCCUAAUACAUGCAAGUCGAACGGUAAGGCUCCUUCAGGAGUACACGAGUGGCAAACGGGUGCGUAACGCGUACGAAACAUGCCUUUAUCAGAGGGAUAGCCUUGGGAAACUAAGAAUAAUACCUCAUAAUAUCUAUUGUUUGCAUAAACAUAAGAUUAAAGCUCUGGCGGAUAAAGAUUGUCGUGCGUCCCAUUAGCUAGUUGGUAAGGUAACGGCUUACCAAGGCGACGAUGGGUAGCUGGUUUGAGAGGAUGAUCAGCCACACUGGUACUGAGACACGGACCAGACUCCUACGGGAGGCAGCAGUAGGGAAUAUUGGACAAUGGAGGCAACUCUGAUCCAGCCAUCCCGCGUGCAGGAAUAAGGCCCUCUGGGUUGUAAACUGCUUUUAUUAAGGAAGAAAACAUUGGAUUUAUCCGAUAUUGACGGUACUUAAUGAAUAAGCACCGGCUAACUCCGUGCCAGCAGCCGCGGUAAUACGGAGGGUGCGAGCGUUAUCCGGAUUUACUGGGUUUAAAGGGUGCGCAGGCGGUAAAUUAAGUCAGCGGUGAAAGGCUACAGCUCAACUGUAGGACUGCCGUUGAAACUGAUAUACUUGAGUGUGGGAAAGGUAGGCGGAAUACAACAUGUAGCGGUGAAAUGCAUAGAUAUGUUGUAGAACACCGAUUGCGAAGGCAGCUUACUGUACCAUAACUGACGCUGAGGCACGAAGGCGUGGGGAGCGAACAGGAUUAGAUACCCUGGUAGUCCACGCCCUAAACGAUGUUCACUCGAUAUUUGCGAUAAACAGUAAGUGUCCAAGCGAAAGCGUUAAGUGAACCACCUGGGGAGUACGAUCGCAAGGUUGAAACUCAAAGGAAUUGACGGGGGUCCGCACAAGCGGUGGAGUAUGUGGUUUAAUUCGAUGAUACGCGAAGAACCUUACCUAGGCUCUAAUUCUAUAUGACAGGCUCUGAAAAGAGUUUUUCCUUCGGGACAUAUAGGAAGGUGCUGCAUGGUUGUCGUCAGCUCGUGCCGUGAGGUGUUGGGUUAAGUCCCGCAACGAGCGCAACCCCUGUUCUUAGUUGCUAACAUUAAGUUGAGGACUCUAAGAAGACUGCCUGCGCAAGCAGAGAGGAAGGAGGGGAUGACGUCAAAUCAUCAUGGCCUUUAUGCCUAGGGCUACACACGUACUACAAUGGUAAAGACAAAGAGUAGCGACUUGGCGACAAGUAGCCAAUCUCAAAAACUUUAUCUCAGUUCGGAUUGGAGUCUGCAACUCGACUCCAUGAAAGCUGGAAUCGCUAGUAAUCGUAGAUCAGCCAUGCUACGGUGAAUACGUUCCCGGACCU